UACAGAGGUCUCAAGCGUUGUUCGGAUUCAUUGGGCGUAAAGGGUGCGUAGGCGGCGCGGUAAGUCGGGUGUGAAAUCUCGGAGCUUAACUCCGAAACUGCAUUCGAUACUGCCGUGCUUGAGGACUGGAGAGGAGACUGGAAUUUACGGUGUAGCGGUGAAAUGCGUAGAUAUCGUAAGGAAGACCAGUGGCGAAGGCGGGUCUCUGGACAGUUCCUGAC
rnacentral:rRNA from 1 species